CGCGUUAGGUGUCUAACAGCAGAAACUCCAAUAAACAACAUUCCAGAAGUGCCGUCUGCCUGUCUGAGUUAUAUGUAUUUACAGUGGGGACACUGUUGACUGAGCACCUGGAGGAGGGGAGGUUCGAGUGAAGCUGUUUAGGAUGCCACACAGGACAGCUGGAAGCUGUGAACUUGUAAUGGAGAACUGCAAAAGGGCAGCAAGCAAUGUCAGCCGAUCAAACCUGCCUGCCAUUCUUCAUGUGAAGCUCCCAAGCCGCAUGUAGCUCCAGCCUUGCACAAGAAUAAUUAAGAGAGAAAGGUCAAGCUCGACAACACUUCUGAAAAAUGUCUUUAUUAAGCUCAUCAGUUUAUACUGCAUUUGGAACCACAUGAUUGCACUGUCCAUCUCCUUUCCAAUUUAGGAUCACGACAGGUUCUAAGAGCAAUGUAAGGGGCUGCUAAUUACAGAUUGGGAGGCCACCUAUUAUAAAAACAGCAGCUCCUAAUUUAUUAUUUAUUUUCAUUCUUUAUAUAGCGCCAUCGUCUCCCACAGUCCUUCACAGAGUCCACUUAAUUGCAUAGUAAUUAAUGGUGUUAUAUAGGAUACACAUUGAGUGGAAUGCGUGCGACACAGUUGUACUUGGUACAAUUUGCCCCCAAUGCUCCAAUAUGAAAGCAAAAGAAGUGUCCAUUUGGUAAAUUGUGUGCAAGUUGAAAUAAACACAGUAUAUACAAGGUUUAAA